UUGUAAAUCUGAAUGCCAUGGAGGACUGUGAAAUAAUUGGAAUGAUAUUUGAUUUCAUUGGGGAUGUCUUGUUCGGCUGUAAGUUGGAGGAUAUUGGAGAAGUGGAGUUGGAUAACUGACACGUCGACUGAUGAUGACGAUGACGAC